rnacentral:rRNA from 1 species
AUGAUAGCAUAAGGGCUCCACCUCUUCCCAUUCCGAACAGAGAAGUUAAACCUUAUCACGCCGAUGGUACUGCGAAAGCGGGAGAGUAGGUAGUCGCCAUCU